rnacentral:lncRNA from 1 species
GCACUCAACCUCCCUUCUCUCCCUCUCUCCUCAGAAUCGUGCCCCAUCUCUCUCUCUCUCUCUCUACCUUCAAAUCUUCAAGACUUGUUCUUCAUUCAAAGCUUUGAAGGUGAUCCAUGGAGGUUGCAAGUUGAAGGGCAUUCAAAGGAGCUUUGUUCUAGUCUUGUUCAUCAUCUUUCUCACCAUCAUCUUCACUAGAAUUUCUACCCUAGCCUUGUGCUAGUAGUUGUCGUGUAGCGGACAGGGUUUGAGAUUCGAUUCAAGACGCACUACUGUGAGUACAUAGACCCCUCUCUUACUGUUUUCCAAUGUUUUGGGGAGCUGUUGCUUAGGAUGUUCGUGACACACUAGGGCGGACCUAUGCCUUAGAGACUAAAAUAAAGAUGGAACUAGUUUAAUUAUGUGAUGAACACUUUGUUUCAGUUGAUUUAAGACUAUGUAACCUUUGCUUGAUGAAUAAAACAAAACUUUGAAUUACCAUGGUUGUGAAACAAAAAUUCUGUUACAACACUCCCCGACGUUUCCGCCACGAUUUGUUGUUUUACGUGGUCGGGGUGUGACAGAAGAGUUGGUAUCAGAGCCAAUGGUUAUAGGGAAUUAGGUUAUUAGUAAUGCUUUGACCUAGACUAUAACCUUUCUAGGACCCCAACACAAGUUGUCUUGUGUUUAGAUUUUAAAACAUGCACUUCACCUAUCCUUAGGUG